rnacentral:lncRNA from 1 species
CUCUGGGAUAUUCCCCCCGCCCCUCCACGCAUCAGGUUUAUGUCCCAGUUGCCUUGCCCUAGACUCUGGGCCUCUGGAGGGCAAGGCCAUAGGGGGUGAUGUUGCUCUGGGCCCAGUAAACACCACUGAAAGGAACUGACAAAGGGUCCCUGCCUCCUUCUUGUCCUGCUUCUUCCCCGUGUGCUGGGGUGAGCCAGGGCCCAUGGGGCAGCCUGCAGAGCACUUCCUGCCUUACCUGGACCUGGGAGAGGCUGGGCUCAGGGCCUGGGGACCACCUGUGGGCUGGGGUGCUGAGGCCCUGGAGGGCUGUGGAGAUGGGGGAGGGUGAAUGCCUACCCAGGUGGUCCACCCUGUUUCAAUUUCAAAGACAUGGGAGGCGCAGGCCAGCAGGAAUGGUGACGGCCAGUGCCCAGCAGGUGCUCACCUGGACAGUGGUUGUCCUGAGUGGGCUUCUCUGCUAGAGGAAGGGGCUGAGUGUCUCUGCAGCCUGAAGUCAAAGCUCCAGCAGGCCUCUCUUUCCCUCCCAGAGAGGGAGGCGCCAUCAAGGAUGGUCAGGCUUAAACCAGAUAGACCCAAGGGACAGCGACAGGCCUGGGGACAAGGGACUGAGCCAGGGUAUAUAAGCCAAGGUGCGAGGGAGAGGGGGUACUGCAGAUGGAGAGGGUGUGAGAAUACUGCCCUGGGAUGGGGGUCGGGCCCGAGUCCUCGGCUGCUGUCCAAACCCAGACCUGGGUGGGUCACUGAGAAGACUGGAACCCGUGGCGGAAGGCCCCCUGGAGGUCGCUUCGGCCACUGCAUCGUCCCUCGGCCAGCCUGGGAAGGGGCGGGGGCGUGGCAGCAAUGGAGGGGACCACCCUCAUCGCCCCACUUCCGCCGCCUGCUGCUUCAGACCUGCGGGUUAGGCGGACCCCGGGAGUCUGCUUUCCCGCGUUACCGACGAAGUUAAACAAUUUGGCCUGGACGUCCUCGGGAGCGAGGCCCCACUUUCCCUGUUCGCGCCCCAAAGCCAGCGCCAGGGAGCGAAGUUCCCGACCCCCGUAUUCUGACAAGGCUGGGCCACUCCUUCUCCCCAAAGCACCCCGAACCCUGCCCGCCCUUUGUGACCCCGGUCCUCCUAACUCCCAAAUGGGGCGCAAAAAGAGAAACGAGCGCAAGCUCGCUCGACACAGCCAGGAGAGGAGUUCCUCCCUCCCCUGUCUAGCUGCGGGUCUACGAGAAAGGCGAUGGGGUCCCCAUAAGAAAGGGUGAGGAAACGCAAGGGCGCGCGGUCCAGCAGGGCCACAAGCUGGGGAAGAAGAGAGGGGGAAGGGUCGCGCACGUGGCCGGGGGGCGGGGCUGGCCGCUUCCGCACCCCCACCGGGCCACGUGGGGAGCGGACCCCUCCCCCAUCCCGACCUGGGGCGCGCCCUGGACCGGGUGGAAGCGUCCGGGGAAGGGGCGGGCCCCCGCCGGCCGNNNNNNNNNNNNNNNNNNNNNNNAGCCCGCGAGGAGGCGGGGCGCGCGCCGAGCUGGGAAGGGCUCGCCCUAGGGGGCGGGCCCACCCAAGGAAGGAGGGGCGUGCCGGGAUGGGGCGGGACUCGCCCCGGAGGCGGGACCCUACCAGGGACGGGGCGGAGUUUCCUGGCGUGAGGAGGGGGUUUUCUGGGGGCGGUCCGCAGGGAGCUACUGAGGGAAAAGCGCGCCAGAAGGGGCUGGCUCCUCAGCCUGCUGCCCGGCGUGGGGAAGGCGCGCUCGGGGAGGGAGGAGAGCGUACUGUGGGGCCAGAGUGGGCGCGACAGGGGGCGGUU